GACGAACGCUGGCGGCGUGCUUAACACAUGCAAGUCGAACGGAAGGGCCCUGCUUUUGUGGGGUGCUCGAGUGGCGAACGGGUGAGUAACACGUGAGUAACCUGCCCUUGACUUUAGGAUAACUUCAGGAAACUGGGGCUAAUACCGGAUAGGAGCUCCUGCUGCAUGGUGGGGGUUGGAAAGUUUCGGCGGUUGGGGAUGGACUCGCGGCUUAUCAGCUUGUUGGUGGGGUAGUGGCUUACCAAGGCUUUGACGGGUAGCCGGCCUGAGAGGGUGACCGGCCACAUUGGGACUGAGAUACGGCCCAGACUCCUACGGGAGGCAGCAGUGGGGAAUAUUGCACAAUGGGCGGAAGCCUGAUGCAGCAACGCCGCGUGCGGGAUGACGGCCUUCGGGUUGUAAACCGCUUUCGCCUGUGACGAAGCGUGAGUGACGGUAAUGGGUAAAGAAGCACCGGCUAACUACGUG
rnacentral:rRNA from 1 species